GUCGGGAAUAUUGGGCAAUGGGCGAAAGCCUGACCCAGCAACGCCGCGUGAGCGAUGAAGGCCUUCGGGUCGUAAAGCUCUUUUCGGGGAGAUGAGGAAGGACAGUAUCCCCGGAAUAAGUCACGGCUAACUACGUGCCAGCAGCCGCGGUAAAACGUAGGUGGCGAGCGUUAUCCGGAUUCACUGGGCGUAAAGCGCGUUCAGGCGGCUCGACAAGUCGGGCAUGAAAUCUCUCGGCUCAACCGAGAGAGGCUGUUCGAUACUGUAGGGCUUGAGGGCAGUAGAGGGUGGUGGAAUUCCGGGUGUAGUGGUGAAAUGCGUAGAUAUCCGGAGGAACACCAGUGGCGAAGGCGGCCACCUGGACUGUACCUGACGCUCAAACGCGAAAGCUAGGGGAGCGAACGGGAUUAGAUACCCUUGUAGUCC
rnacentral:rRNA from 1 species